UACGGAGGGGGCUAGCGUUGUUCGGAAUUACUGGGCGUAAAGUGCACGUAGGCGGCUUUGUAAGUUAGAGGUGAAAGCCCGGGGCUCAACUCCGGAAUUGCCUUUAAGACUGCAUCGCUAGAAUUGUGGAGAGGUAAGUGGAAUUCCGAGUGUAGAGGUGAAAUUCGUAGAUAUUCGGAAGAACACCAGUGGCGAAGGCGACUUACUGGACACAUAUUGACGCUGAGGUGCGAAAAGCGUGGGGAGCAAACAGG
rnacentral:rRNA from 1 species